rnacentral:rRNA from 1 species
CCUACGGGCGGCAGCAGUGGGGAAUCUUGCACAAUGGGCGAAAGCCUGAUGCAGCAAUGCCGCGUGAGCGAAGAAGGCCCUUGGGUCGUUAAGCUCUGUUCUAAGGGAAGAAGGAAGUGACGGUACCUUAGGAGGAAGCCUCGGCUAACUACGUGCCAGCAGCCGCGGCAAUACGGAGGGGGCAAGCGUUCUCCGGAAUUAUUGGGCGUAAGGAGUACGUCGGCGGUUCUUUAAGCGCAGGGUUUAAGGCGAUAGCUUAACUAUCGUUCGCCCUGUGAACUGGGGGACUUGAGUAUCGGAGAGGAAAGCGGAAUGCCUGGUGUAGCGGUGAAAUGCGUAGAUAUUAGGAGGAACACCAGUGGCGAAGGCGGCUUUCUGGACGAAAACUGACGCUGAGGUACGAAAGCGUGGGGAGCAAACAGGAUUAGAUACCCGGGUAGUC